rnacentral:rRNA from 1 species
AUUGAACGCUGGCGGCAUGCCUUACACAUGCAAGUCGAACGGCAGCACGGGUGCUUGCACCUGGUGGCGAGUGGCGAACGGGUGAGUAAUACAUCGGAACGUACCUUAUCGUGGGGGAUAACGCAGCGAAAGCUGUGCUAAUACCGCAUACGCCCUGAGGGGGGAAAGCGGGGGAUCGAAAGACCUCGCGCGAUUAGAGCGGCCGAUGCCUGAUUAGCUUGUUGGUGGGGUAAAAGCCCACCAAGGCGACGAUCAGUAGCUGGUCUGAGAGGACGAUCAGCCACACUGGGACUGAGACACGGCCCAGACUCCUACGGGAGGCAGCAGUGGGGAAUUUUGGACAAUGGGGGAAACCCUGAUCCAGCAAUGCCGCGUGAGUGAAGAAGGCCUUCGGUUGUAAGCUCGUUUUGUUCUAGGGAAGGAAACGAACCCGGGACCGU